rnacentral:lncRNA from 1 species
GCGCCACGCCAUUGCAGCACUGCGCCAGUGCACACGCGCCCAUGCUCCCACUCCUCAGACCACAGCCGUGCUGGAUCUGCAUGGCUGUACCACGCACCUCCCACCUGCAGGCUUUGGUCGCGGUGAUGGGCUGCCUGCCGGUGGUGGUGAGCGAUCUGGUGAUGCAGCCCUUCGAGCCGGAGAUGGACUGGAGCGCGUUCUCGCUGCGGGUGGAGCAGAAGGAUGUGCCCACCAUGCACGAGGCCAUAGAGGCGGUGGAUGAACAGGUGAGUGGCUAUAGGGCGCGGCUGUGGGGCAGGGCACAGAAGGUUGCUUACGCACACGAUUCGACGCCUGGAUCCAGGGCCCGCUUCAAACGUUCCUGAUACAACCGCUCCCUCCCCUUCGCUGCCCUCCCGCCGCCCGCCACAGAAAUACGAGGAGAUGCAGGAUGCCCUGCGCUGCGCGGCUCAGCACAUGAUCUUCAGCACCAUGAGCGGCGCCUUCAUGCAGGAGGACGGAAAGUGAGGCCGGCUGGCUGGUGGCACUGUAUGGGUACUGUGUAAAAUGGGCCUGUGUAUGUUGUGUGCGCAUGUAUCUUGAUCAGACUGACCUGCCUCUCCUCCUGCGCAGGUGGGACGCGUUUGAGUUCGUCCUAGAGAUCCUGCGGAUGCAGCAGGGCCACCCCGGACUGCACCCCUCCAAAUACGCCGAGGUGGACGAGCAGUACCGCGAGUGAGUCCGCCUUCUCUGUGUGGGCAUGAGGGCAUGCACCAGCUCCCCCUCCAAACCUUCCCAGUUCCCACCUUCCCACCCGUUCCUGAACACCCCCCCCCAGCUUUCUUAAUUGCGGGGAUCCAGACGGCAUGGCGUCAUACGGCAGGAAGCUGCGUGAGGCACAGCUGGCCAAAUACCCGACGGCCCCCUCGCUUUCAAAGGACCCGGAGGAGCCCAUGGACUGGAGUGAUCUGUACAAAAGCUCAAUGAACGGGCUUAAGAAGCUGCUCGAGCUGCACAGGUGCGCGUAUGACAUCGUGUUUGGGGUCUGGUUAGGAGUGCCCUAGCCCGCCGCCACCAGUGUGCACCACAUAGCGCUACGCGUGGGCCUAGUCCAUGUCGCUGAUGCUGGCCUGUCCCCACCCGCCGCGCCCCCGAUGCCCAGGCUUCCGGCUGAGGGCUCGGAGCCGGAGCCUCCACUGCCGCUGUGCUCCAUGAGUCUGUGGGACCCGGAGCAGGUGCGGUGCAGCAAGGUGGGCCACCGGGAGCGGGUGCACCACCCCUACAUCCCAGGCGGCGCGGCCUGCGUCAUGCACAAGAACCUGGCCGAGUGCCCCAGGAUGUGGGAAUGACAAGUCCAGGAGAGCAGCGCUUUAAGGCUGUGUGGUAGAUUACCGUCUGUUGGUACGGCAUCCAAUGCAGUCUAGGGUGGUAGCAGCAUUCUUUCGCCCAUGUUGGGCGGGGGCGGCCUGGAUGGGGGCGCGGUUCAGUUCGAGCGUCGGGGGCCGACGCGCAACUGCAACGGUUGCACUUUUGGAAGGGGCACUUGGCAGGGUUAUGGUUCAUAUAAGGUGAUUCUCUGUCACUUCCUGACCGCGUCUGUGUAAAACCUAUGCACAGUUCACAUGAGCGUGCGCGACUCGGCCUGCCCGCCCCUUCUGAAUGCGUCUGACAGAAAACCUUUCAAAUGUUUCUUAAAGUAAGAUCUAGGUUUUCUGUUUCCAUAAAGUCCGCAGCCUAUACUUGUGGCCACUUGAUAGCAGAACUGCACACCAGCAGUUCACACUGCUCCGGCGCCAAAGACUUGAAAGUAGUCUUGCCUUCCUGUUAUGGUAUUAUGGACACCCUUUACCACAGCAGUCCCUUUAGGCUUGAUCUGAGUCGGCUCUCGUUAAAACGACGAAAGUAUAGAUGAACCAUCCUGUCCACAGACUCGCGGCCGCGUGGCAGCUCCGACUGGUGUCAAUACUACUAGUUGCAUUGGUAGCGUCCAAAGGAAAGGUGGGUGGUGACUCGCUUGAGCUGGACGCGUGCCCGGAACAUGUUCACGGGACGGCGCACAGGUUGACGAGGAAGCUCUUGAGCAGCAGGCCCCAGCCUACACAGCCCCUACUCCCGGAGUCUGCAGCGAGAGGUGCUACGACAUUGCAACGUGCAAUGAGGAGCUAGGGGGCAGGUGGGUGUGCACAGGGCGGAAUGGUGGAUGUGGGUGUGCACACAACAGUGGAGUAACUUGCGGCCGUACAUGCAAGAAUGGUCCUACCAACGAGUGCACUACACGGUGACCUUUCGUUGCUUAAUUCCUUACAGGUGUGAUUGUCCCAAAACUCUGUCUGGUUCGGAGUGUCACCAGAAAGCCACGAAAGAAAGCCUGCAGACUUACGGGCAGAGCACUGUGAAGGAGGCGAAGGACCCUCUGCCCUGCCUCAAUGACUGCAACGGCCGGGGCACGUGCGUGUACGGCGCAUGCGUGUGCACACGGGGUGAGAGAUGUUGUGCUCGUGGAUAAAGUUGCUCAGUGGGGGGCACGACAUGACCCCGUUUCACGUCCUUCCGAAAUACCGCAGGCAACUUCACGUCCGACUGCUCGGUCUCCUUGGGCCCCGACACGCAGCAGCCAGUGGUGCUGGCGGGCAGUGGGUAUGAGGCCCGGCGCAAGCGGCCGCUGAUCUAUGUGUACGACAUACCGCACAAGCUGUCCAGCUGGUGAGGCGGGGAAGGCACGGGAGCAGGGGGAGAGCGGGGUGCGGGGGCGGGGGCGAAUGCUGUUGUACGGUCAUGCGGCCGUUGGGAUCACAGGGCGCAGUUAAACAGGCACGUGCUUACAACUUGCUGCUUACCGUAUUCUAACUGCCUAACUGAUGGACAGGCACAACGUGAUGCGGGCGGACAGGGGCCUGGCAUGGGUGUUUUGGCAACGGCUGCUGGGAGCUGGCGUACUCACGACAAAUGGAGACGAAGCGGUGCGUGUGAAAACGCGGGGUCGUGGAAGAGCUGGCACAUGGUCUUGCAGGUCGGUGGGCUUGCAAGUAACGUUGCCUUCAUCAUGGUACAGACAGGCAUGCGGCAUGGAUGCGCACGAUGGUACGCCCAGUGCAUGGUUUGUCCGGGUGCACUUGGAAUGAAUGCGCGGCACGCAGGCAUAUCAGCUCUUUCCACGACCCUGCACAAACCCACACACUAUAUACGGUUCUACAUUCGUCUUGUAAUCCAGGACUGGUUUUACAUACCUGUCAAGCUCCGAAGCACCAGUGACGGCUACAGUCUGAAGGAUGCCGUCAGCUACAUCCGCAGCCACUGGCCCUGGUUUGAAAGGUAGGUAGCUCGGCUGUGUGUGAUGCAAGCGUAACAGCACGGGGCUACGGAGGGCUAUUGCACAUGUCUACCAUAACCUUAUGCCUCUGCUCCAUUCUGCCGUGAGUGCGCAGGUACGGCGGUAACAGGCACUUUGUGCUGCACUCCGGUGACACAGGACGCGGCGAAGUGACGGUAAGCGAAGUGGAUGGCAGGACACACCAGCACGCAAAGGUACAAUCCCACGUCUGCCGUAUUUGCAGCCACUUGGGGCAAUCCAAACAAGUGACUGUUGAGUUUGCAUGAAGGUGUCUUGUCACCCGAGAUGCAAAGUAAGCCUGUGUGCCGCACCUGCCCCACACACGUGCAGGGCGCCAUCCGCGAGGACGCCACGCUGGCCAACAUCACGUGGCUGCACCACUGGGGCCUCACAGAGGACUACCCCAGCUCGGGCUGGCGCAAGGCGCACCGAGUGGGCAAGGUGUGUGAGCACAGAAGCUGCUUGGGUCGGGGCACGGGUCGGGGUGGCAAUCCUGAUUGGGAUGACUUGCACCAUAGGACGAUGCUGGUUGUGUGCCAGGCGGCACAGCACCACGGCUUACAUGCCGUAAGCGCAGCCUAAUGAUGCCCAACGUUUCUGCUCCCGGCACAGGAUGUUGUGGUGCCCAUUUACCUAGGAGUGCGGAAGAGCGCGGGGCUGUUGCCCCUGUCUGGCCUGCACCCGCUGGCACCGCGCAUUCCUCGCAACGGCACCUUCCUCUUCAGCGGCCGCAUCUGCGGCGACCACUCCCUGCCCGACCCCGAAAAGCCCUGGCCCCACUGCGCCACCAGACGCAGCCCCGGUUACUCGCAGGGCGCUCGCCAGCUGGUGGGUUGUUGGAAGGUCGGCGGUUGGUGGUUUUCCUUCUGGCAUGACGUGGUGUUUUUCGGGGUGACGGGUCCGGUGGGGUGCUGUGCGAGCCGUUGCGUCGUGACGCGCGCCUUCUUGCUCGCAGGUCCACUUCCACCACUCGCAGCGGCCGGGUUACAAGGUCAUGGUGAAGAACAAAGAGUACCAAGUGGACCUGAUAAAUUACAAGUGAGUGUGUUCAGCCAUUCCCUAGCCCGUCCUUUCCUGGGCGUGGUGCCGCACAUGAGACGCGUGAACGUGUGCCCCGCUCAGGUGGUGUCUGGCGCCCUCAGGCGGCGGUCACGGACAUAGACAGGUGAUGAGUCGGGUCAUGCAUUGCGCAUUGCUUGCGCUUUUGCAACUGGAUGCAUACGCUUUACUUUGCGUACGUCCUUCUCAUCAGGUCUUAGUGGCCGCCAUGGGCUGCCUGCCGGUGGUGGUGAGCGACCUGGUGAUGCAGCCCUUCGAGCCGGAGAUGGACUGGAGCGCGUUCU